GUCUACAGCCAUGCAACCUAAACAAGCCCGAUCCCGGCUAAUCUUGGAAGCUAAGCAGGAUCGGGCCUGGUUAGUACUUGGAUGGGAGACCACCUAGGAAGACCAGGUGCUGUACGCA
rnacentral:rRNA from 1 species